rnacentral:lncRNA from 1 species
GAUAAUAGACACUGGACCUCACAGCUUCUUCUUCAACACGCCAUCCAUACACACAUACGCAUAGAAAAAGGAAAAAUACGCAAACACCUGAGAACACACUACUCUUUCUCACCAAAAAAGUUAUCUCCUCACCAAAAAAGUUAUCUCUAUCAGUCCCUUUUUUAGUUGUGUCACUGCCGAUCUUGCCGGAGCUUCGGCUAAGCGGGAAUGGAAAACCAGCCCCAUUUCAGCCAAUCUCACAUCAAACAACCACUUUGUUGCUCAUUUUUAGUUUAAAUCUGGCCGAAAAAUGUUAAUUCCGGCCACCAAUUCGUUUGUUCUUGGUGGAUUUUUGUUCGGAUUGGGUUUUGAGAUUUUCUCAUGGAUUUGGUUUAUCGUUUGAGGUUCGAGUUGAGGAGGGUUAGUCAAUCAAGGUUUUCGGGUACGGUUCCAUCACCCAAUUGCAUAAUGGGCACAAUAAAGCUUGACUUGAGGUCCAAUUCUAUCUUGUUCUCAUUUUGAUUUCAUUAUAUACGUGUGAUUGGUUUGUGUAAAGCAUGAUAUAAAUACUUGGGUGAUAUCGAAGGCCCGAGGCGUUGGGUGGAGCUUAGUCUAGGACAAGUAUAGAAUAGGAUUUAUAUUUUUCGCAAGUUUUCUAUUUUGGGCUGUAUAAUUGGACUGGGCAUUAUUAUUAUUUAUUUCUGUAUUGUUGUU